rnacentral:rRNA from 1 species
CGAAGGAUGCAAGCGUUAUCCGGAUUCAUUGGGUUUAAAGGGUGCGUAGGCGGACUGAUAAGUCAGUGGUGAAAUCUCUCAGCUUAACUGAGAAACUGCCAUUGAUACUGUUAGUCUAGAGUAUAGAUGACGUUGGCGGAAUAUGACAUGUAGUGGUGAAAUACUUAGAUAUGUCAUAGAACACCGAUUGCGAAGGCAGCUAACGAAACUAUAACUGACGCUGAGGCACAAAAGUGCGGGGAUCAAACAGGAUUAGAUACCCUGGUAGUCCGCACCGUAAACGAUGAUUACUCGUUGUUGGCGAUAUGACAGUCAGCGACCAAGCGAAAGCGAUAAGUAAUCCACCUGGGGAGUACGCCGGCAACGGUG